CCUACGGGUGGCAGCAGUGAGGAAUAUUGGUCAAUGGACGAGAGUCUGAACCAGCCAAGUAGCGUGAAGGAUGACUGCCCUAUGGGUGGUAAACUUCAUUUAUAGGGGAAAAAAACAGGGUAGGCAUACACUCUUGUAUGGACAAUAUGAAUAAGGAACGGCUAACUCCGUGCCAGCAGCCGCGGUAAUACGGAGGAUCCGAGCGUUAUCCGGUUUUAGUGGGUUUAAAGGGCGCGUAGGGGGAUUGUUAAGUCAGUUGUGAAGGUUUGCGGCUCAACCGUAAAAUUGCAGUUGAAACUGGCAGUCUUGAUUACAGUAGAGGUGGGCGGAAUUC
rnacentral:rRNA from 1 species